AUACGGAGGGAGCAAGCGUUAUUCGGAAUCACUGGGCGUAAAGGACGCGUAGGCGGGUUUGUAAGUCAGGUGUGAAAUCCUACAGCUCAACUGUAGAACUGCACUUGAAACUACAGACCUAGAGUAUGGAAGGGGCAGAUGGAAUUAGUGGUGUAGGGGCAAAAUCCGUAGAUAUCACUAGGAAUACCGAAAGCGAAGGCGAUCUGCUGGGACAUUACUGACGCUGAGGCGUGAAAGCGUGGGGAGCAAACAGGAUUAGAAACCCCAGUAGUCC
rnacentral:rRNA from 1 species